rnacentral:rRNA from 1 species
CAGUCGCCGCGGUAAUACGUAGGUGGCAAGCGUUGUCCGGAAUUAUUGGGCGUAAAGGGCGCGUAGGCGGCGAUCAAAGUCAGGCGUGAAAUUCCUGGGCUCAACCUGGGGGCUGCGCUUGAUACUUGGUUGCUUGAGUGGGGAAGAGGGUCGUGGAAUUCCCAGUGUAGAGGUGAAAUUCGUAGAUAUUGGGAAGAACACCGGCGGCGAAGGCGGCGACCUGGUCCUUGACUGACGCUGAGGCGCGAAAGCGUGGGGAGCAAACAGGAUUAGAUACCCGCGUAGUCCCUGUCUCUUAUAC